rnacentral:rRNA from 1 species
AGAGUUUGAUCCUGGCUCAGAGCGAACGCUGGCGGCAGGCUUAACACAUGCAAGUCGAACGCCCGUAGCAAUACGGGAGUGGCAGACGGGAGAGUAACACGUGGGAACGUGCCCUUCAGUUCGGAACAACCCAGGGAAACUUGGGCUAAUACCGGAUACGUCCGUAAGGAGAAAGAUUUAUCGCUGAAGGAUCGGCCCGCGUCUGAUUAGCUAGUUGGUGAGGUAAUGGCUCACCAAGGCGACGAUCAGUAGCUGGUCUGAGAGGAUGAUCAGCCUCACUGGGACUGAGACACGGCCCAGACUCCUACGGGAGGCAGCAGUGGGGAAUCUUGGACAAUGGGCGCAAGCCUGAUCCAGCCAUGCCGCGUGGGUGAUGAAGGCCCUAGGGUUGUAAAGCCCUUUCGGCGGGGAAGAUAAUGACGGUACCCGCAGAAGAAGCCCCGGCUAACUUCGUGCCAGCAGCCGCGGUAAUACGAAGGGGGCUAGCGUUGCUCGGAAUCACUGGGCGUAAAGCGCACGUAGGCGGAUUGCUAAGUCAGGGGUGAAAUCCCGGAGCUCAACUCCAGAACUGCCUUUGAUACUGGCGGUCUCGAGUCCGGGAGAGGUGAGUGGAACUGCGAGUGUAGAGGUGAAAUUCGUAGAUAUUCGCAAGAACACCAGUGGCGGAGGCGGCUCACUGGCCCGGUACUGACGCUGAGGUGCGAAAGCGUGGGGAGCAAACAGGAUUAGAUACCCCCGUAGUCC